CCUACGGGUGGCAGCAGUGAGGAAUAUUGGUCAAUGGCCGCGAGCCUGAACCAGCCAAGUCGCGUGAAGGACGACUGCCCUAUGGGUUGUAAACUUCUUUUAUAAGGGAAUAAUAUGUGCCACGUGUACCUUUAUGCCUGUACUUUAUGAAUAAGCAUCGGCUAACUCCGUGCCAGCAGCCGCGGUAAUACGGAGGAUUCGAGCGUUAUCCGGAUUUAUUGGGUGUAAAGGGACCGUAGACGGUUUGUUAAGUCAGUUGUGAAAGUGUUGGGCUUAACCGUAAUAUUGCAUUGGAUACUGGCAGCCUUGAGUACAGAAGAGGAAAGCGGAAUGCGUGGUGUAGCGGUGAAAUGCGUAGAUAUCAGGAAGAACACCAGUGGCGAAGGCAGCUUACUGGACUGAAACUGACGCUGAGGCUCGAAAGCGUGGGUAUCAAACAGGAUUAGAUACCCGGGUAGUC
rnacentral:rRNA from 1 species